rnacentral:rRNA from 1 species
UACGUAGGGUGCAAGCGUUGUCCGGAAUUAUUGGGCGUAAAGAGCUCGUAGGCGGUUCGUCGCGUCGGCUGUGAAAUCCCGAGGCUCAACCUCGGGUCUGCAGUCGAUACGGGCGGACUGGAGUUCGGCAGGGGAGACUGGAAUUCCUGGUGUAGCGGUGAAAAUGCGCAGAUAUCAGGAGGAACACCGGUGGCGAAGGCGGGUCUCUGGGCAACUACUGACGUGGAGGAAGCGAAAAGCGUGGGGGAGCGAAACAGG